AGACAACAUCUCUAUGGCAACACCUCCACGGAAAAAUGAUGGCGGCCACAGCAAGACGAGCGAUGACUAUUUUUUUUAAAUAUACACAAAUACAGCACUACGCACCCCAAAGCGCCCUUUGGCUCCCAGGACACAGGGCUGUGUUUAAGACAACAGCAUAGGAGCUCAUGACAAGACUAAUUAGGAGCACAAGGGGAGUAUGCAGGCUCAGGACCGAGAGUUUGACAAUGAAUUAAGACCUGGGGCUUUGGGAUACUGAAAUUUGUCAACAAAAUUAACAUUCCCUUUCCUGGAAACUCUCAAGCUGAAGGAGUUUACGAGGACCUUAUUUUAAGUGUCCAACUUGGAGGGAAUUAUCAGAGAGAGAGAGCGAGAGACGGUAAAAACAAACAGUAGCCGCCAUCAGCCCCUUCAACAGCACUGUAAACCUAGCCAAGGAUGGGUUCCCGCCCACUGCUUCUCACAGCCGUUCUCCUCUGAUGCCUUCGCAGAUCGGAAUUUGGGGAAGGAGUGGCCUCCAUGACCUCAACAUCAGAAGCCUAGAGGGUCUUUGUGGCUUAAAGGGCUGUGACACGUGAAGUACUGGCUGCCGAUUGUAGAGGAGAGAUUCCUGGGCAAGUGCAGAGUUAUAUAGAGUGCCCUUUCUACCUGACACACGAAAGAAAUGAGCUGUAACAGACGCCAGCGGCAGGUGCAGGACCUGUGAGCUUCACUCACUGUGCCCCAGUGUUUGGGUUCCUGCGCUUUGAACCGCCUUACUUUAAGAAGCCUUGUCAUUGGAAAAUUGACCGCAGCUGAUGGCUUCUGUCAUUUGUGCUGUUGUUUGGAGGGCAGGGCUCUGCGUCGCUUUGUCAGGCCGCACAGGGAAUGCGCCACCUCCGGCCCGCACUGUCUGCCUACCCAGACCCACAAGGCUCCUCAAAGCCUCCUCACCAAGGGCUGACUCUUUUGCCUUGUUCUUUCUUUUUCUUUCUGUUUAUUCUUUCAAAACAUGUACUCCUUUUAGGCAGUUGCGAGAACUUCUACAAUAAUCUGUGUUCUAAAUUUUAGGAGCCACAAUAAAAACCUCUCUUUUUUUCCUGCA